CCUACGGGUGGCAGCAGUGAGGAAUAUUGGUCAAUGGACGAGAGUCUGAACCAGCCAAGUAGCGUGAAGGAUGACUGUCCUAUGGUUUGUAAACUUCGUUGAUAUGGGAAUAAAAUGUUCCACGUGUGGGUUUUUGUAUGUACCAUAUGAAUAAGGAUCGGCUAACUCCGUGCCAGCAGCCGCGGUAAUACGGAGGAUCCGAGCGUUAUCCGGAUUUAUUGGGUUUAAAGGGAGCGUAGGUGGAUUGUUAAGUCAGUUGUGAAAGUUUGCGGCUCAACCGUAAAAUUGCAGUUGAAACUGGCAGUCUUGAGUACAGAAGAGGUGAGCGGAAUUCGUGGUGUAGCGGUGAAAUGCUUAGAUAUCACGAAGAACUCCGAUUGCGAAGGCAGCUCACUGGACUGCAACUGACACUGAGGCUCGAAAGUGUGGGUAUCAAACAGGAUUAGAUACCCGGGUAGUC
rnacentral:rRNA from 1 species